rnacentral:rRNA from 1 species
GAAGCGACCGCUAUUGGAAUUCGAUUAAGCCAUGCGAGUCGAGAGUCUUAGGGACUCGGCGUACCGCUCAGUAACACGUGGGUAACCUGCCCUGUGCUGGGGAAUAACCUCGGGAAACUGAGAAUAAUGCCCCAUAAUUCACUACGCCUGGAACGGUGGGUGGAUCAAAGCUCCGGCGGCACAGGAUGGGCCUGCGGCGUAUCAGGUCGUAGGGGGUGUAAUGUACCCUCUAGCCUUCAACGCGUACGGGUUGUGGGAGCAAUCGCCCGGAGAUGGAUUCUGAGACACGAAUCCAGACCCUACGGGGUGCAGCAGGCGCGAAAACUUCACACUGCAGGAAACUGUGAUGAGGGAAUUCCAAGUGAUCAGCCUAAGGUUGAUCUUUUUGUAACUUUUAAUCGGUUGCAGAAUAAGGGGUGGGAAAGACCGGUGCCAGCCGCCGGUAAUACCGGCACCUCAAGUGGUCGUCGCUUUUAUUGGGCCUAAAACGUCCGUCGCCUGUUUGGUACAUUCGUGGGUAAAUCAAGCCGCUCAACGGCUUGAAUUCUGCGAGGACGGCCAGACUAGGGACCGGGAGAGGUAUGGGGUACUCUCAGGGUAGGGGUAAAAUCCAGUCAUCCUGAGGGGACCACCUGUUGCGAAGGCGCCAUACUAGAACGGAUCCGACGGUCAGGGACGAAGCCUAGGGGCACGAACCGGAUUAGAUACCCGGGUAGUCCUAGGUGUAAACGCUGUGGACUUGGUGUUGGGGAUUCUACGAGUAUCCCCAGUGCCGGAGUGAAGAUGUUAAGUCCACUGCCUGGGGAGUACGGUCGCAAGGCUGAAACUUAAAGGAAUUGGCGGGGGAGCACAGCAACGAGAGGAGCGUGCGGUUUAAUUGGAUUCAACGC